GAUGAAGAACGCAGCUAAAUGCGAUAAGUAAUGUGAAUUGCAGAAUUCAGUGAAUCAUCGAAUCUUUGAACGCACCUUGCGCCCUUUGGCCAUUCCGAAGGGCAUGCCUGUUUGAGUAUCAUGAACACCUCAACUCUCAUGGCUUGCCAUGAUGAGCUUGGACUUUGGGGGUCUUGCUGGCCUGCGGCCAGCUCCUCUCAAAUGAAUUAGCUUUCCAGUGUUUGGUUGGCAUCACAGGUGUGAUAACUAUCUACGCUUGUGGUUUCCACCAGGUAACCUUCAGUAACAUGGGGGUUUGCUGGAGCUCACAAAUGUCUCUCCUCAGUGGGGACAGCUCUUUGAACGUUUGAUCUCAAAUCAGGUAGGACUACCCGCUGAACUUAAGCAUAUCAAUAAGCGGAGGA
rnacentral:misc_RNA from 1 species